rnacentral:rRNA from 1 species
AAAACAUCGCCUCUUGACUAUAAUAAGAGGUCCAGCCUGCCCAGUGAAUUUUAAACGGCCGCGGUAUCCUAACCGCGCGAAGGUAGCAUAAUCACUUGUUCUUUAAAUGGGGACUCGUAUCAACGGCAUCACGAGGGUUUUACUGUCUCCUCUUUUUGAUCAGUGAAAUUGAUCUUCCCGUGAAGAAGCGGGAAUAUUUAUAUAAGACGAGAAGACCCCAUGGAGCUUCAAACCAAAUAACAACUUAACCACUUAACCCAUAAUAAAUUUAAGCCAUGUUAUAAGGUUUUGGGUUGGGGUGACCGCGGAGUAAAGCACAUCCUCCACGACGGAAAGAACACAAUCUUUAUUUAAGAACUACAAUUCUAGAAAUUAGUAUACUAACGUUUACUGACCCGAUAAUCGAUCAACGGACCAAGUUACCCUGGGGAUAACAGCGCAAUCUACUUCAAGAGCUCAUAUCGACAAGUAGGCUUACGACCUCGAUGUUGGAUCAGGGUAUCCCGGUGGUGCAGCCGCUACCGAAGGUUCGUUUGUUCAACGAUUAAAACCCUACGUGAUCUAG